AAUAUUGCACAAUGGGGGGCAAAGCUUGAUGCAGCCAUGCCGCGUGUGGGGAGGGAGGGCCAUAAGAUUGUAAAGCACUUUCAAUGGGAGAAAAAAAUUAAUGUCCAUUACCCAUUAGUCUUAACGUUACCUUUAGAAGAAGCACCGGUUAACUCCGUGCCAGCAGCCGCGGUAAUACGGAGGGUGCAAGCGUUAUUUGGAAUUAUUGGGGGUAAAGCGCACGUAGGGGGUUUGUUCAUUUGGAUGUGAAAGCCCCGGGCUUAACCUGGGAAUUGCAUUCAAUUUUGCCAGAUUUGAGUACGAGAGAGGGGGGUAGAAUUUCUAGUGUAGCGGUGAAAUGCGUAGAUAUUAGAAGGAAUCCCAGUGGGGAAGGCGGCCCCCUGGCUCGAUACUGACGGUGAGGUGGGAAAGCGUGGGGAACUAGCAGGAUUAGAUACCCUGGUAGUCCACGCCGUA
rnacentral:rRNA from 1 species